UACGAAGGGGGCUAGCGUUGUUCGGAAUUACUGGGCGUAAAGCGCACGUAGGCGGACUAUUAAGUCAGGGGUGAAAUCCCGGGGCUCAACCCCGGAACUGCCUUUGAUACUGGUAGUCUCGAGUCCGGAAGAGGUGAGUGGAAUUCCGAGUGUAGAGGUGAAAUGCGUAGAUAUCAGGAGGAAUACCGGUGGUGUAGACGGCUCUCUGGACCGCGACUGACGCUGAGACACGAAAGCGUGGGGAGCAAACAGG
rnacentral:rRNA from 1 species